GACGAACGCUGGCGGCGUGCUUAACACAUGCAAGUCGAACGGAAAGGCCCUGCUUUUGUGGGGUGCUCGAGUGGCGAACGGGUGAGUAACCCGUGAGUCACCUUCCCUUGCCUUUGUGCUACCUUCAGGACACUGGGGCUAAUACCGGAUAUGAGCCCCUGCUGCAUGGUGGGGGUUGGAAAGUUUCGGCGGUUGGGGAUGGACUCGCGGCUUAUCAGCUUGUUGGUGGGGUCGUGGCUUACCAAGGCUUUGACGGGUAGCCGGCCUGAGCGGGUGACCGGCCACAUUGGGACUGAGGUACGGCCCAGACUCCUACGGGGGGCAGCAGUGGGGAAUAUUGCACAAUGGGCGGAAGCCUGAUGCAGCAACGCCGCGUGCGGGAUAACGGCCUUCGGGUUGUAAACCGCUUUCGCCUGUGACGAAGCGUGAGUGACGGUAAUGGGUAAAGAAGCACCGGCUAACUACGUG
rnacentral:rRNA from 1 species